UUUUGUGAUGAACAAACAAUAUUUAAAGCAUAGUUCACCUGAGAUCUUCGGAUUGCUGAACGAAAACAUAUUCCAUCUUUCAUUUUUCUGAUC
rfam:Penicillium camemberti str. FM013